GAAGCUCUUUCUUUCUGGUGGAGUACUUUGACCUGUGAACAAGUCAUUUUUAUAAAGUGGAGUGCAAAUUAAAAAAAACGAGAACUUUGUUGAGAGUGCGCUCUUUCUCAACUUUUUUUGAAUUGAUUUUGUCAAAUGACAAGUGAAAUUUGCUGCUGGAAUUAAGAAUAUUUUGGAAACUUGGUAUCAGGUGCCCUAGUUAACGUGGGCAAGUUGUCUGGGCUGGAAGCCAUUGUGAAGCCCAUCGAAAUUAGAGGUUAGGCACACCGCGUGCUCGGUCAGUGACGAAACUCGUCCGGAAUCGUUCGGAAUCGUCGCUAGCGUCAGGAUUCGUUUGGGAUCAUCCUGUUUCGCUGAGGGUUAAAGCCAGCAGCAAGCCAGGGUUGUGCUAUUUACCGGUUGCGGACGCAGCCAUUGUGAUCUAGUACUUCGGUACGCUAGUGGCGCACACGUCACUUCCAGUGGGUUGUCAGCGGCACCGCUUUACGUCAACACAAAGCCGUACCGCACCGACGAAGUCGGGACGCAAACCUCGUUUAAGCCAAGACGUGCGACACCGAGCCCGUUACACCGCUCGGAAAACUCCACCGACGCCCGGGGACGCCUUUACCCCGAUGAUCUGUCCACGCACGAGGGCCCAUUGACCACUGCCAGGAUUCUGGCCAUCCCAAAAACCCGUUACAAACCUUGAGCACAAACCCUAGGCCGCCCUCCGAGAAGUCUGCACGUGGAUGUAAGCAGCCCGCCGCAUGAGACACGUGCGUCAAGAGGUGCGUGAAACCGAUCGAGCCAACCGAACGAGACAACGAACGUGCGCAGCUACGUGGGAUCGCCGUGGGACAUCCGGUAGGACCGACGAACAACUAUAAGGUCAGAUCUAUCUUUUUGCAUUAUAUAAACGCCCCUGUUCCCCUGAAAAACACCAAGAUUAAUCCCUAGAGUAGCUUGCUAGCUUAAGUCGAUUCUUUGCGCGUCGCGCCAAACAGUCAGACCCCGCAGAGUCAGGUGUGACGUCACAAAAUCUAGGCCAGAUUGCAAUAAAGGGAAUUGCCUGUGUCCAAAUCUGAAUUGCGAACUCUUCUGAAUUGAAAUUUCGCCGAAUAAAAUACUCUUUGACAAAUUCAAUAAAUUUAAUUUGUUGUUCGCGUACGAAU